AACAAACACACUGUUCCGUCGCCACGCAGACGGAGCAUCGUCCUUCUACCGACGCGGGGACACUAGCGGGGCUGUAUAAGCGUUAAUCCGGGGAGGAUGUGUUGUCUGCCGGCAGAGCAGACUUUGCAGGCGCCCAGCGAGCCUCUCUGCGCGCAAGGAUGUUCGCCGCAGUCGCUCGCCCGCCGCCUGCGAUGGAUCGGAGAUCAGCUGGAGAAAAAAUGGGCUGCGAAUGACAAACGCUCCGUCGAGAACACCGCGAGGACCGGCAAUAUUUCCGUCAAAGGCAUUCACAUUGUGUGCACAGCAAUACAAGUGACGGUUCUCAUACUCUUUGUGGGAAAGCGACAUCUGUAGGCGCGAGGGACGCUCCGACGAAGGCUGCAACAGAUGGGAGUCAGAACCACGAGUGAUGAGUGCGAAGACCUGUUGAAAGCUGUUGGGAGAAACGAUGCAAGUGUUCUGCAGACACUGUAAGCUUGGCAUGGGUGUAGUUGCUCAACAUUUUCCUGAUCGCUAUGUGUACUUCAUAGCAUUUGGUACAGAGUUUCAAUGGAAAUACUAAACACACUGUUGUAUCGUUGUCACUCCUCUUCACCUAUGAAGAACACUACUUCGUCAUAUAAUUCCAUUACUGAAGCUCAAAUACACCAGCUGUGACUUGAUGUCAUUUGGUAUGUGUUUGUAUUGGUAAGAUACGUUAAGGUCAAAUGUAGUCAAAGCCACCAGUGUCUCACUGGGGACACUAAUAACACUCCACUGAUGUCACUGUCCCCUGGUGUUGCAGGGGAAAAUGUUAGCAUUAUGGCAAUAGGAGUCUUGGCUCAAUCUCCACGACCUUAGAACUGAUUUCUAUUUAUUACUAAAGGUUAUGCAAAAGCAUGAAAAAAAAAACAAAACUAAAUUGUCUAAAUUGUACAAUGUCAUAACAUUUUAAGACUGCAGAGGAGGACUGCCUAAAGGACUAUUACCAAAAUCUUCUCCUCUGCAUAUUGCACUGCAACUUUUUGUAAUAAGCUAUUAUAAAUGACUGCUGACCAAGUCUGAACUGUACGGUUUUUCUUUUUGUUCUUGUUUCUAAGUUACUUCUGAUCACGUUCUGUGACAUUAUUUAUGAUGCAUAUUUGUAUGGUAGAACUGUUUGUAUUUAAACCUACAGUAGGUGUUUACAAAUCAAGACAAAUCUUUUCUAGAGCUUUUUAUAAAGGGCUUUGACUUGAUUGGUGGUUGCAGUGUUAAUGUAGAAAACUUCUCUAUGAAAUUUCAUGCAUAAUGUGAAUCUAAGGGCAUGCUACUGAUGUUUACAUAAGCUACAAUCUUUUAUAUAUAUUGAAUUAUGAACAUGGCUAGCAUAACUGUUUUUAUUAAAUGUGUUUUACCUCUGCUAUUUUGAUAUUGUGAUUUGUCAUUUAUGAAAAUAAAAAGGAUAAAUUUAUCAAAAGUGAGCCAUUUACUCAAAAAAAACGUAGUUUUCUUUUAAUAGCAGAAGUGAAAGUAUGAUACAUUGUCAUACAACUCUACUCAGACAGCAUUACAAUGACAUCGAACUCAUUUUGACCCAAAAGGCUCCUGGUUCUGGUGCAGUUCAGCAAAGGGCAACACUGUAUAACAGAGCCCCUCACUGAAGGCAGUGCAUUACGUCAGUGACAUACUGGCAGCACGACUAAGCAAUGUCAUCUGCGAUGCAAACACAGAUGUGGCUGGAGAAUCUUUAGGAAGUCCAUGUUACUCUACAGCACUUUCCAGACUAUUUUGACAUACUGAAAAAUAACGGCAAAUCUUGCUCCAACACCCCUGUACACUCACGCUGCCUCGAGAUGGACACAAAGCGUUCAGAACAGCGUUCCUGCCAGCCGGAAACCCUGGAGCAGUGGGGCGCCCAGCGCCAGAGCCUAGCUCACGCUGCCAGGCCA